CCAUCAGCCAGAGCCGCCCGCCAGCCCAGCAUGUCUGUUAGCCGCGAGGCUAACUAGGCAUUUGCCCUGGGCAUUUGGGGGGCGGCGUUUUUUGCCGCCCCCCGAAAAAUGCCGCCCAAGGCAAAUGCCUUGUUUGCCUCGCGGCUAAUACGUCCCUGUAUACAGAGCAAUCCCCAGUGUGAUUAUAGCAGUUCCCUAUAGCACGAGACGAGGCUGUGAGUUGAGGGUAAGAAGGUCUGACAGUUUAAUGACACACACUAGUGUUU